rnacentral:rRNA from 1 species
CCUACGGGAGGCAGCAGAGGGGGAUAUUGCACAAUGGGGGGAACCCUGAUGCAGCGACGCCGCGUGGGUGAAGGAGUGCUUCGGCAUGUAAAGCCCUAUCGGCAGGGAAGAAGCAAGACGGUACCUGACUAAGAAGCCCCGGCUAACUACGUGCCAGCAGCCGCGGUAAUACGUAGGGGGCGAGCGUUAUCCGGAUUCACUGGGUGGAAAGGGAGCGUAGACGGCCAUGCAAGCCAGGGGUGAAAGCCCGGGGCCCAACCCCGGGACUGCCCUUGGAACUGUGCGGCUAGAGUGCGGGAGGGGCAGGCGGAAUUCCUGGUGUAGCGGUGAAAGGCGUAGAUAUCAGGAGGAACACCGGCGGCGAAGGCGAUUAACUGGACCGUAACUGACGCUGAGGCACGAAAGUGUGGGUAGCAAACAGGAUUAGAUACCCCUGUAGUC